CUCGUAGGCGGUUUGUCGCGUCUGCUGUGAAAACUGGAGGCUCAACCUCCAGCCUGCAGUGGGUACGGGCAAACUAGAGUGCGGUAGGGGAGAUUGGAAUUCCUGGUGUAGCGGUGGAAUGCGCAGAUAUCAGGAGGAACACCGAUGGCGAAGGCAGAUCUCUGGGCCGUAACUGACGCUGAGGAGCGAAAGCAUGGGAGCGAACA
rnacentral:rRNA from 1 species